GACGAACGCUGGCGGCGUGCCUAAUACAUGCAAGUCGAGCGCGUGUAGCAAUACACGAGCGGCGGACGGGUGAGUAACGCGUGGGCAACCUGCCCUCUAGCCUGGGAUAACAGCGCGAAAGUGCUGCUAACACCGGAUAUGCUCACUAGGGAGACAUCUCCCGGUGAGGAAAGUUUACACUAGAGGAUGGGCCCGCGUCCCAUUAGCUAGUUGGUGAGGUAACGGCCCACCAAGGCGACGAUGGGUAGCCGACCUGAGAGGGUGAUCGGCCACACUGGGACUGAGACACGGCCCAGACUCCUACGGGAGGCAGCAGUAGGGAAUUUUCCGCAAUGGGCGCAAGCCUGACGGAGCAACGCCGCGUGAGGGAUGAAGGUUUUCGGAUCGUAAACCUCUGUCUUCAGGGACGAUAAUGACGGUACCUGAGGAGGAAGCCACGGCUAACUACGUG
rnacentral:rRNA from 1 species